GAAACAGCACACGAGAGGCGGAUCGUCGUAAGGAAACUCGAUCCCGAUCGUCGUAAUCCUCUAACUCCGGAUUCAAUUCAGGACCAGUCUCGAUAGUACCCUUCUCGAUGUCAUGUUUCUCAAUCACUGUCGAGGAUUGCUUCUUCUUCCUUCCUUUGCGACUAGGUUUAGCUGCGGUUUCCGCUGCUGCUCCGAUUGUGAUUCCGCCAUUAAUUGAAGCUCUCGGGGAGAGGAAUUGCCUUGGUUUUGGUGAAUUUCGAGCUACCACAAUCUCUCUACGAUCUAGCGAAGAAUCAAAAAGGUGAAGGUGAGGAAAAAGAAGAAGUGAAGCGCCAUUGGGAGGGUUUUUUACUUCGAUGUCAGGGUUUAUCCAAAUCUUCCUCUUUUGAAUCAUAUCGGGUCCUGACCCGACUUCUAUUCUAAUCGGGUCAACCCAUGAAAACCCGGUUCCGGUUAUUUUCCUUUUUUUUUUUCUUACGGCUGAAGAAUCAGUUUAGAUUUUAGAAGGAGAAACAAAUAAAACCCUCCACAAAGAUCUCACCGACGAUUUGAUUUCGCUCGUUCUCAGGCCAUCCUCACCGCCGGAACAAUUUUUAUAAGGUAAUCUCGCACUCGAUUCAGCUCCAGGAUUUCUAGUUUUAUUGUUCUUCACUGAGUUGCUUAGAUUUGGAGUUCUCGUUUCCGUGUGGGAAUAGAUCGAUCGGUUUGGCUGCUUCUUCUAUUAGCAGCUUUGGAUCUUCAAUUACUGUCUCGAUCUUGGUUUAUAAUUCCUGCGUAAUUUGUUACACCAGUAUGCUGUAAAGUGAUUUCUUCUGCUUAUAUAUAUAUGCCUUAUUGACAUUGUUCUGCGUUAAUUUGGAUUUCUAUUCUCUGUUUUCUACCACAAGCUUAGCUUAAUCUGUAGACAUUGUCUCUAUUAAUGGGGUCGUCUUGUUUGAUACCUAGCAACUAUAGACUGUUUCUUCGCUUGUGAUGGAACUUUGUUAUCUUACUGCUGAGCUUAGGAUUCGUGAUUUUUUUUUUUUAAAACUCUCAUGAUGCUGUGAUUUUCUAAUUGACUGAAGUUUACUGCUCUGAAUCAACUUGGUAAGAAAAUCUCAUCUAGUGAUCAGUGGUUCAUUUAGCUUGGUGUUUUUCUUGAGCUGCUUUUGACCCUUGCAAAACUUCUGUUACGUGAUUUUUUUAAUCCUGAGAAGAGUCUAUACAUUAUGCCUAGGUUAAAGCCUUUUUGAAAUGCUAGCUCAGUGACUGUCCUGCCAUUAUAUAAGAUUAUAGAUAUUAUUGCAAGGCCGGAACAAGUUCAAUUCUUUAUA
rnacentral:lncRNA from 1 species